AUUGAACGCUGGCGGCAGGCUUAACACAUGCAAGUCGAGCGGGGGGAGGUAGCUUGCUACCGGACCUAGCGGCGGACGGGUGAGUAAUGCUUAGGAAUCUGCCUAUUAGUGGGGGACGACAUCUCGAAAGGGAUGCUAAUACCGCAUACGUCCUACGGGAGAAAGCAGGGGAUCUUCGGACCUUGCGCUAAUAGAUGAGCCUAAGUCGGAUGAGCUAGUUGGUGGGGUAAAGGCCUACCAAGGCGACGAUCUGUAGCGGGUCUGAGAGGAUGAUCCGCCACACUGGGACUGAGACACGGCCCAGACUCCUACGGGAGGCAGCAGUGGGGAAUAUUGGACAAUGGGGGGAACCCUGAUCCAGCCAUGCCGCGUGUGUGAAGAAGGCCUUAUGGUUGUAAAGCACUUUAAGCGAGGAAGAGGCUACUUUAGUUAAUACCUAGAGAUAGUGGACGUUACUCGCGGAAUAAGCACCGGCUAACUCUGUGCCAGCCGCCGCAGUAA
rnacentral:rRNA from 1 species